rnacentral:misc_RNA from 1 species
UACGUAGGUGGCAAGCGUUGUCCGGAAUUAUUGGGCGUAAAGAGCUCGUAGGCGGUUUGUCGCGUCUGCUGUGAAAACUGCAGGCUCAACCGCCAGCUUGCAGUGGGUACGGACAGACUAGAGUGCGGUAGGGGAGAUUGGAAUUCCUGGUGUAGCGGUGGAAUGCGCAGAUAUCAGGAGGAACACCGAUGGCGAAGGCAGAUCUCUGGGCCGUAACUGACGCUGAGGAGCGAAAGCGUGGGGAGCGAACAGG